ensembl:snRNA U6 U6 spliceosomal RNA
GUGCUCGCUUCAGCAGCACAUAUACUAAAAUUAGAAUGAUACAGAGAUUAGCAUGGCCCUAGCACAAGGAUGACAGGCAAAUUCAUGAAGCAUUCCAUUAAAAA